rnacentral:rRNA from 1 species
AGCGUACACGGUGGAUGCCCUGGCAGUCAGAGGCGAUGAAGGACGUGCUAAUCUGCGAAAAGCGCCGGCGAGGUGAUAUGAACCUUUGACCCGGCGAUGUCCGAAUGGGGAAACCCAGUGUGUUCCGACACACUAUCGUUAACUGAAUACAUAGGUUAACGAGGCGAACCGGGGGAACUGAAACAUCUAAGUACCCCGAGGAAAAGAAAUCAACCGAGAUUCCCCCAGUAGCGGCGAGCGAACGGGGAGCAGCCCAGAGUCUGAAUCAGCUUGUGUGUUAGUGGAAGCGUCUGGAAAGUCGCAGGGUACAGGGUGAUACUCCCGUACACGAAAGCACACUUGCUGUGAACUCGAAGAGUAGGGCGGGACACGUGGUAUCCUGUCUGAAUAUGGGGGGACCAUCCUCCAAGGCUAAAUACUCCUGACUGACCGAUAGUGAACCAGUACCGUGAGGGAAAGGCGAAAAGAACCCCGGCGAGGGGAGUGAAAAAGAACCUGAAACCGUGUACGUACAAGCAGUGGGAGCCUACUUGUUAGGUGACUGCGUACCUUUUGUAUAAUGGGUCAGCGACUUAUAUUCUGUAGCAAGGUUAACCGUAUAGGGGAGCCGAAGGGAAACCGAGUCUUAACUGGGCGUUAAGUUGCAGGGUAUAGACCCGAAACCCGGUGAUCUAGCCAUGGGCAGGUUGAAGGUUGGGUAACACUAACUGGAGGACCGAACCGACUAAUGUUGAAAAAUUAGCGGAUGACUUGUGGCUGGGGGUGAAAGGCCAAUCAAACCGGGAGAUAGCUGGUUCUCCCCGAAAGCUAUUUAGGUAGCGCCUCGUGAACUCAUCUUCGGGGGUAGAGCACUGUUUCGGCUAGGGGGCCAUCCCGGCUUACCAACCCGAUGCAAACUACGAAUACCGAAGAAUGUUAUCACGGGAGACACACGGCGGGUGCUAACGUCCGUCGUGAAGAGGGAAACAACCCAGACCGCCAGCUAAGGUCCCAAAGUCAUGGUUAAGUGGGAAACGAUGUGGGAAGGCACAGACAGCCAGGAUGUUGGCUUAGAAGCAGCCAUCAUUUAAAGAAAGCGUAAUAGCUCACUGGUCGAGUCGGCCUGCGCGGAAGAUGUAACGGGGCUAAACCAUGCACCGAAGCUGCGGCAGCGACGCUUAUGCGUUGUUGGGUAGGGGAGCGUUCUGUAAGCCGUUGAAGGUGUCCUGUGAGGGGUGCUGGAGGUAUCAGAAGUGCGAAUGCUGACAUAAGUAACGAUAAUGCGGGUGAAAAGCCCGCACGCCGGAAGACCAAGGGUUCCUGUCCAACGUUAAUCGGGGCAGGGUGAGUCGACCCCUAAGGCGAGGCCGAAAGGCGUAGUCGAUGGGAAACAGGUUAAUAUUCCUGUACUUGGUGUUACUGCGAAGGGGGGACGGAGAAGGCUAUGUUAGCCGGGCGACGGUUGUCCCGGUUUAAGCAUGUAGGCGGAGGUUCCAGGUAAAUCCGGUACCUUUUUAACGCUGAGGUGUGAUGACGAGGCACUACGGUGCUGAAGUAACAAAUGCCCUGCUUCCAGGAAAAGCCUCUAAGCAUCAGGUAACAUCAAAUCGUACCCCAAACCGACACAGGUGGUCAGGUAGAGAAUACCAAGGCGCUUGAGAGAACUCGGGUGAAGGAACUAGGCAAAAUGGUGCCGUAACUUCGGGAGAAGGCACGCUGAUAUGUAGGUGAAGCCCCUGCGGGUGGAGCUGAAAUCAGUCGAAGAUACCAGCUGGCUGCAACUGUUUAUUAAAAACACAGCACUGUGCAAACACGAAAGUGGACGUAUACGGUGUGACGCCUGCCCGGUGCCGGAAGGUUAAUUGAUGGGGUUAGCGGCAACGCGAAGCUCUUGAUCGAAGCCCCGGUAAACGGCGGCCGUAACUAUAACGGUCCUAAGGUAGCGAAAUUCCUUGUCGGGUAAGUUCCGACCUGCACGAAUGGCGUAAUGAUGGCCAGGCUGUCUCCACCCGAGACUCAGUGAAAUUGAACUCGCUGUGAAGAUGCAGUGUACCCGCGGCAAGACGGAAAGACCCCGUGAACCUUUACUAUAGCUUGACACUGAACACUGGUCCUUGAUGUGUAGGAUAGGUGGGAGGCUUUGAAGCGUGGACGCCAGUCUGCGUGGAGCCGCCCUUGAAAUACCACCCUUUAAUGGCUGGUGUUCUAACGUAGACCCGUAAUCCGGGUUGCGGACAGUGUCUGGUGGGUAGUUUGACUGGGGCGGUCUCCUCCCAAAGAGUAACGGAGGAGCACGAAGGUUAGCUAAUCCUGGUCGGACAUCAGGAGGUUAGUGCAAUGGCAUAAGCUAGCUUGACUGCGAGAGUGACGGCUCGAGCAGGUGCGAAAGCAGGUCAUAGUGAUCCGGUGGUUCUGAAUGGAAGGGCCAUCGCUCAACGGAUAAAAGGUACUCCGGGGAUAACAGGCUGAUACCGCCCAAGAGUUCAUAUCGACGGCGGUGUUUGGCACCUCGAUGUCGGCUCAUCACAUCCUGGGGCUGAAGUAGGUCCCAAGGGUAUGGCUGUUCGCCAUUUAAAGUGGUACGCGAGCUGGGUUUAGAACGUCGUGAGACAGUUCGGUCCCUAUCUGCCGUGGGCGCUGGAGAAUUGAGGGGGGCUGCUCCUAGUACGAGAGGACCGGAGUGGACGCAUCACUGGUGUUCGGGUUGUCAUGCCAAUGGCAUUGCCCGGUAGCUAAAUGCGGAAGAGAUAAGUGCUGAAAGCAUCUAAGCACGAAACUUGCCCCGAGAUGAGUUCU